rnacentral:tRNA from 1 species
GCGAGAGUGGCGGAAUUGGCAGACGCGCUGGACUUAGGAUCCAGUGGUUUAUCCGUGUGGGUUCGAGUCCCUCCUCUCGCA